rnacentral:rRNA from 1 species
UACGGGGGGGGGCAAGCGUUGUUCGGAAUUACUGGGCGUAAAGGGCUCGUAGGCGGCCAACUAAGUCAGACGUGAAAUCCCUCGGCUUAACCGGGGAACUGCAUCUGAUACUGGAUGGCUUGAGUUCGGGAGAGGGAUGCGGAAUUCCAGGUGUAGCGGUGAAAUGCGUAGAUAUCAGGAGGAAUACCGGUGGCGAAAGCGACUCUCUGGACGGCAACUGACGCUGAGGCACGAAAGCGUGGGGAGCGAACAGG